GACGAACGCUGGCGGCGCGCUUAACACAUGCCAGUCGAACGGAAAGGCCUGCUUUCCCUUGUGGAUUGCGGGUACUCGAGUGGCGAACGGGUGAGUAACACGUGAGUGAUCUGCCCCCAACUCGGGUAUAAGCCUGGGAAACUGGGUCUAAUUCCCGAUAGGACUGCAGGGUGGUGCCUGUGGUGGACAACGAUUUUCUAGUGGUUGGGGAUGAGCUCGCGGCCUAUCAGCUUGUUGGUGGGGUAAUGGCCUACCAAGGCGGCGACGGGUAGCCGGCCUGAGAGGGUGGACGGCGACAUUGGGACUGGGAUACGGCCCAGACUCCUACGAGAGGCAGCAGUGGGGAAUAUUGCGCAAUGGGCGGAAGCCUGAUGCAGCGACGCCGCGUGGAGGAUGACGGCCUUCGGGUUGUAAACACCUUGCGACCGCGAGGAGGCCGCCUGGUUGGAAGGGUGGUGACGGUAGUGGUAGAAGAAGCACCGGCUAACUACGUG
rnacentral:rRNA from 1 species